GUUUGAGCCGGAGCUCAGAUUAGACUCUGAAAGUUCUUCUCCAGAGUAGGGCUGUUAACCCCGACUUCUAGGUGAAGUCGGAAGGUUGGGCGAGGCCUCCGAUCCUGUGUCAGCAGAGACAAACUUCCGGGUCUACAAUCUGAGCUCCGAAGCUGUGAGUAAGGGAGAGGUAAGAGAGUCCACGCGCCGCAGCGAAUCUCAGAACCGCCCGGGGCAGAGCAGGAACGGAAGGCGAGUGUCUCUCUGGAGCGUUCUCACGAGCUCAGCACUUCAGUCCCGGUGCCAGACAGGACUUUGUCGUGGAUCACCGGCCGUGUGGACCUCUGCAGUUUUCAGGCCUGGCACAACACUGCGAGAUCAACUUCCCCAUCUGUGGAAUACCUGUGAAGGACUGCACUUCAGAGUUCCCCGAAGAAAACCAUAUCCCAUGUCUUUGUUCCAAGCACUGGAGCACGUGGACACAGGCCAACAAAGCCAGCAAUAAGCAGAGCAGGAGAGAUGGCUCAAAGGUUAAAAACACUUGGGCUCUUGCAAAGAAUUUUGGUUUCCUUUCCAACACCCAUAAUGCAACUAUCUGCAAUCCCAGGCCCAGGGGGUUCAACAGGCAUGCCUUUGGUGCACAUGUGCUAACACCGGCAAAAUAUCCAAACACAUAAAAAUGAAAAUAAAUAAAUAAAUCUAAAAAAACUUUUAUUUAAAAAAAA